rnacentral:lncRNA from 1 species
UCCAAAGAACAGCAGCCUGGAAAAUGUGAAGGUACAAGGACUGUUCGUCUGACAUACAAAAACAGACUAUAUUUCUCAGUGCAAGCUCGUGGAGAGACUGAUAGAGAAAAGUUGCUGUUAAUGUAUCAGACAAAUGAUCAAAUCAUAAAUGGACUUUUUCCUCUGAACAAAGAUCUGGCAUUAGAAAUGGCAGCUCUUUUAUCUCAGGCAGCUUUGCCAGCGACUUUCAACCAGAUGGAUGGCCCUCCGGGGACACAGUGCUGCUGACUGUGUGCGCAUUUAUUUGACAGUAGCCAGGAAGUGGCCAUUCUUUGGUGCCAAGUUGUUUCUUGCAAAACCCAUAACUCCAUCAUCACUUGGAAGUACUUUCUUGUGGCUGGCUGUACAUGAGGAUGGUUUAAGCCUCUUAGAAUACAACUCCAUGAGGUUAAUAGUCAGCUAUGUGUACAAGAGUCUAAUGACCUUUGGAGGCUAUCAAGAUGAUUUUAUGGUAGUCAUUAACAAUACACAUUCAAAGGACAAACCAACAGAGAAAUUACUUUUUGCCAUGGCAAAACCCAAGAUUCUUGAAAUCACUCUUUUGAUCGCCAGUUACAUAAACAACUUCCAUCAGCAAAAGGCAGCAUUUCACC